GGGGAUGUAGCUCAGUGGAAGGGUGGCUGCAUACAGGAGGUCCUGGGUUCAAUCCCCAGCAUCCCCA
rnacentral:tRNA from 1 species